UACGUAGGAGGCAAGCGUUGUCCGGAAUUACUGGGUGUAAAGCGCGUGUAGGCGGCAGGCCAAGUCUGUGGUGAAAUCGCUCGGCUCAACUGGGCGGGGUCCAUGGAAACUGGUCAGCUGGAGGACGGUAGAGGUGAGUGGAAUUCCCGGUGUAGCGGUGAAAUGCGCAGAUAUCGGGAAGAACACCCGUGGCGAAGGCGGUUCUCUGGGACGGUACUGACGCUGAGACGCGAAAGCGUGGGGAGCGAACAGG
rnacentral:rRNA from 1 species